CAACUUCCACCUGGCUUACCUCCUCAUUUAUGCGUCAUGACUUGUAUCGUCUUGAGCGUAUUGUGGGUUUCCUGUGUUGCAUACCUUUCUAAUGGUAUCGUUUUGAUUGAUCGAAGUCCCUUUUCAUCUUGUGUUGCUUUUUGCGACGCAUGAUGAACCUCGAGGCGGUCUCUAUGUUCCACUACGUUGAUGCUACUGUUUCGAUGUUGUGGCCCAUUGAGCGUUGCUUGGUUUUGUGGAUACAGAACAUGAUUUGGGCAUAGGGUUACUUGUGACUCUUGUUCUGUCCUUUAUCAGUGUUCUUUAUAACGACGGUUCAUGCGCGCCUAGGCUCGUACCUGCGCGAUGUUCUUUGUCGAAGAGGAAUGCUACCUGGUUGAUCCUGCCAGUAGUCAUAUGCUUGUCUCAAAGAUUAAGCCAUGCAUGUGUAAGU
rnacentral:misc_RNA from 1 species